UGGCUCAGGACGAACGCUGGCGGCGUGCCUAACACAUGCAAGUCGAGCGAGGAGAUUCCUCGGGAUGAUCCUAGCGGCGGACGGGUGAGUAACACGUGGGCAACCUGCCUCAUAGAGAGGAAUAGCCUUCCGAAAGGGAGAUUAAUACCUCAUAACAUUGCAGUUUCGCAUGGAACAGCAAUUAAAGGAGCAAUCCGCUAUGAGAUGGGCCCGCGGCGCAUUAGCUAGUUGGUGAGGUAACGGCUCACCAAGGCGACGAUGCGUAGCCAACCUGAGAGGGUGAUCGGCCACAUUGGGACUGAGACACGGCCCAGACUCCUACGGGAGGCAGCAGUGGGGAAUAUUGCACAAUGGGGGAAACCCUGAUGCAGCCAACGCCGCGUGAGUGAUGACGGCCUUCGGGUUGUAAAGCUCUGUCUUCAGGGACGAUAAUGACGGUACCUGAGGAGGAGGCCACGGCUAACUACGUGCCAGCAGCUGC
rnacentral:rRNA from 1 species